rnacentral:rRNA from 1 species
AACGAACGCUGGCGGCAUGCCUAACACAUGCAAGUCGAACGAGACCUUCGGGUCUAGUGGCGCACGGGUGCGUAACGCGUGGGAAUCUGCCCUUGGGUUCGGAAUAACUCCUCGAAAGGGGUGCUAAUACCGGAUGAUGUCGUAAGACCAAAGAUUUAUCGCCCAAGGAUGAGCCCGCGUAGGAUUAGCUAGUUGGUGAGGUAAAGGCUCACCAAGGCGACGAUCCUUAGCUGGUCUGAGAGGAUGAUCAGCCACACUGGGACUGAGACACGGCCCAGACUCCUACGGGAGGCAGCAGUGGGGAAUAUUGGACAAUGGGCGAAAGCCUGAUCCAGCAAUGCCGCGUGAGUGAUGAAGGCCUUAGGGUUGUAAAGCUCUUUUACCCGGGAUGAUAAUGACAGUACCGGGAGAAUAAGCCCCGGCUAACUCCGUGCCAGCCGCCGCCGUAA